rnacentral:rRNA from 1 species
GUGUCAGCAGCCGUGGUAAUACGUAGGUGGCAAGCGUUAUCCGGAAUUAUUGGGCGUAAAGCGCGCGCAGGUGGUUUCUUAAGUCUGAUGUGAAAGCCCACGGCUCAACCGUGGAGGGUCAUUGGAAACUGGGAGACUCGAGUGCAGAAGAGGAAAGUGGAAUUCCAUGUGUAGCGGUGAAAUGCGUAGAGAUAUGGAGGAACACCAGUGGCGAAGGCGACUUUCUGGUCUGUAACUGACACUGAGGCGCGAAAGCGUGGGGAGCAAACAGGAUUAGAUACCCCAGUAGUCC